GUCGAGGGGUAUAUGUCUUCGGAUAUAGAGACCGGCGCACGGGUGCGUAACGCGUAUGCAAUCUACCUUUUACAGAGGGAUAGCCCAGAGAAAUUUGGAUUAAUACCUCAUAGUAUUAUUGAGUGGCAUCACUUAAUAAUUAAAGUCACAACGGUAAAAGAUGAGCAUGCGUCCCAUUAGCUAGUUGGUAAGGUAACGGCUUACCAAGGCAACGAUGGGUAGGGGUCCUGAGAGGGAGAUCCCCCACACUGGUACUGAGACACGGACCAGACUCCUACGGGAGGCAGCAGUGAGGAAUAUUGGACAAUGGGCGCAAGCCUGAUCCAGCCAUGCCGCGUGCAGGAUGACGGUCCUAUGGAUUGUAAACUGCUUUUGUACGAGAAGAAACACUGCUUCGUGAAGCAGCUUGACGGUAUCGUAAGAAUAAGGAUCGGCUAACUCCGUGCCAGCAGCCGCGGUAAUACGGAGGAUCCAAGCGUUAUCCGGAAUCAUUGGGUUUAAAGGGUCCGUAGGCGGUUUAGUAAGUCAGUGGUGAAAGCCCAUCGCUCAACGGUGGAACGGCCAUUGAUACUGCUGAACUUGAAUUAUUAGGAAGUAACUAGAAUAUGUAGUGUAGCGGUGAAAUGCUUAGAGAUUACAUGGAAUACCAAUUGCGAAGGCAGGUUACUACUAAUUGAUUGACGCUGAUGGACGAAAGCGUGGGGAGCGAACA
rnacentral:rRNA from 1 species